AACGUGGGUAACCUGCCCAUCAGAGGGGAUAACAUUCGGAAACGGAUGCUAAAACCGCAUAGGUCUUCGAACCGCAUGGUUUGAAGAGGAAAAGAGGCGCAAGCUUCUGCUGAUGGAUGGACCCGCGGUGCAUUAGCUAGUUGGUGAGGUAACGGCUCACCAAGGCCGUGAUGCAUAGCCGACCUGAGAGGGUGAUCGGCCACAUUGGGACUGAGACACGGCCCAA
rnacentral:rRNA from 1 species